UAUGUGAUCGUCUCUCGCAUAUCAAUAAGCGGAGGAAAAGAAACUAACAAGGAUUCCCCUAGUAACGGCGAGUGAAGCGGGAAGAGCUCAAAUUUGAAAUCUUAAAGGGUUUCCCUUUACGAAUUGUAGUUUAAAGAAGUGUUUUCUGUUGAGGUUUUGGUAAAAGUUCUUUGGAAUAGGACAUCAUAGAGGGUGAGAAUCCCGUAUUUGACCUUUACUUUCAACUUUGCUGAUACACUUUCAAAGAGUCGGAUUGUUUGGGAAUGCAGCCAAAAUGGGUGGUAAAUUUCAUCUAAAGCUAAAUAUUGGCGAGAGACCGAUAGCGAACAAGUACCGUGAGGGAAAGAUGAAAAGAACUUUGAAAAGAGAGUUAAACAGUACGCUGAAAUUGUCAAAAGGGAAGCGUUUGACACCAGUGUUGUUUUUCUGAAAAUCAAUUAAAGAACUGUUUAUGCUAAGUUGUUUAGACUUUAUCAGCUAUCUGUUUAGUUUUAGGCUUUUCUUUAAUGCACUUUUCAGUUAACAAGUCAACAUCAAUUUCUUUUGCUGUAAAAAAGCUUGAGGAAGGUGGCUUGAGAUUCGUCUUAAGUGUUUAUAGCCUCUUGCCUAUGCAGUCGGAGAGAUUGAGGUCUGCAGCGUAGAUCCUUCGGGGCUAAAUGCAUUUGUGCUAAGUUAUAGCAUUUUAUAGACAACUUGUUGACUAUGAUUUGUCUUGUAGCUUACUCGCUUAUGUUAUUUUACCUACGCUUAGGAUGUUGAUCUACAGAGCGAGAGU
rnacentral:rRNA from 1 species